AUCAUCAGUUCCGAUUGCAAGAACGACAUUCACAACCUUUGAUGACAGAGUUGUAGCAGCCCCCCUCUUCUCUCUUCCUCCCAACAGCCUCCUCCUUCCCUCUUCCCCUCCCUUCUUCCCGCUUCCCCUCCCCUCUCCCUUCGCCCCUUCCUCUCCCUUUCCUUUCUCCUUCCUCUCCCCUUCCUCUUCCUCCCAGCCACCCCCUCUCCUCUCUGUUCUUCUCUUCUUCUCCGGCGGAGGAGCAGCAGCGCGAGAACGCCGCCUCUACUCCCUUUUCUAGUGGACAGCAGCUGCGAGGAGAGCAAUAGCAGCCGGACAGCGAGCCUCCAUCACUGGCAUCAGCUCCAGCUGGCGACAACCAGCCGCCAAGCAUCAGCAACUCCGGCGAGCAACAGCAGCAGCGAUGCCGACGAGAACCAGCAACAACAGCUUCCAACAACUUCGAACAGCAUCCACCCGGCAGCAGGCUCCGGCAAACAACAACAACAGCUCUGGCGAUGUAGUGACUCACCGACAUAUUCCGGCGAUAACAUAAUCAAUCCCAAAACUAUCAGCGUGGCUCCAAUUCCGGUAAUCUCUUUCAGCGUUUUUUCUUUUAGAUCUGGCCGGGGGAGUCAAACUCCGCCCACUGUUGUCUUCCUAGCCAUAUUUUAUUUUUUCCUCCGGUGAAUGUUGCUAAUUUGAUGCUUAUUGCUUCCAUUUUGAUGUGCAACUAUUAUUAUCAUAUUCUUUUGUUUAAGCUUUUCUUUUGUUAAUAUGUUACUGC
rnacentral:misc_RNA from 1 species